rnacentral:rRNA from 1 species
ACAGCAGUCGCCGCGGGAAUACAGAGGGUGCGAGCGUUAAUCGGAUUUACUGGGCGUAAAGCGUGCGUAGGCGGCUUCUUAAGUCGGAUGUGAAAUCCCUGAGCUUAACUUAGGAAUUGCAUUCGAUACUGGGAAGCUAGAGUAUGGGAGAGGAUGGUAGAAUUCCAGGUGUAGCGGUGAAAUGCGUAGAGAUCUGGAGGAAUACCGAUGGCGAAGGCAGCCAUCUGGCCUAACACUGACGCUGAGGUACGAAAGCAUGGGGAGCAAACAGGAUUAGAUACCCCCGUAGUCCCUGUCUCUUAUAC